rnacentral:rRNA from 1 species
GCUUGUCUCAAAGAUUAAGCCAUGCAUGUCUAAGUGUAAAUAAGUCUAUACUGUGAAACUGCGAAUGGCUCAUUAAAUCAGUUAUCGUUUAUUUGAUGAUCUCUUACUACUUGGAUAACCGUAGUAAUUCUAGAGCUAAUACAUGCACAAAAUCCCGACUUACGAAGGGAUGUAUUUAUUAGAUAACAGACCAGCAGCUUCGGCUAUUGUGGUGAAUCAUAGUAACUAAUCGGAUCGCAUGGGCUAGUCCCGCGACAAACCAUUCAAGUUUCUGCCCCAUCAGCUUUCGACGGUAGUGUAUUGGACUACCGUGGCUUUUACGGGUAACGGAGGAUUAGGGUUCGAUUCCGGAGAGGGAGCCUGAGAAACGGCUACCACAUCUAAGGAAGGCAGCAGG